CUCUAAAUUUUGCUGUGUUUAAAUAUGCCUAAAAGUGAAAGAACCUAGUGGGGAAACCCCCACUCAACUCCCGAUUCGGCGUGCACCCAAGAAUCACGAACAGAACA
rnacentral:pre_miRNA from 7 species